rnacentral:piRNA from 1 species
CCUGCCUGCUACUCUGUUCUAUCCAG